CCGGUCCGCUCUCACGUGUACCUGUACCCCAAAACCACACGGGGUGAGAACUAUAUAAAUAUAGUUCCCAGUGGGUUCGGCCGUCGACUCCACCGAUCUUCCCACUAGGUCUAAGCUGGCACAGAUAGAUAGAUAUAGAGAUAUAUGGAAGUAAACUGCUACUAUAUCUACUAUGCCAUCAAAUGCAAGGAAUGCAUGCAAUAUCAUUUAUCAUGCUAGUAUGCUUUAACAAUGUAAUGAAUACCAAUACAACAUAGUUAUGUAAACUUCUAACAUAUACUAUGUCUAAUCAUGGUAUGAAUGCAAAUCUUCUUAUGCAAUUCAUGUCAUUACCCAACCCACUAGGCUACCCCGCCUAAGGUCUCAACCACAUAGGUGAAGGACUACCCCGCCCUUGUCUCACCCGUCUCACAACUCUAAUGCUAUGGUAAAGAGCUACCCCGUUCGUUGCCCGACUCAGAUCUCAAGUCCUAUAGGUGAAGAGCUACCCCGCUCCUCGCCCAACUAAUACUCAAAUGCCUAAGGGCAAGAGCUACCCCGCUCUUCGCCCCAACUCUAACUCAAACUCAUAGGUCAAGAGCUACCCCGCUCGUAGGUAAAGAGCUUUCCCGCUCAUAGGUAAAGAGCUACCCCGCUCAAAUCUCACAGGUAAAGAGUACCCCGCCCUUCGCCCAAUUCACUUCCCAGUCCAAUGGGUGGGGAGCUACCCCGCUCGUAUCCCACCCAGUGAGCUACCCCGCUCGUGAGCUACCCAGCUCGUGUGACAACUCCGGAGUGCACUACUUGUGGGGAGCGACCGCCACAAGCCCAGAACAGACUAUGUGAGUAUGAUCCAAUCCUCGCCAACUGAGGAUACCCUGUCAACUAGGUUAACAAUCACUUGAUAAUCCACCUAUCCCUAGGUCCAUGUCAAGUGUCUCAACCAUAUCAAAUCUCGAUGCCACUCACCUAGGUCUAAGCAACUCU
rnacentral:lncRNA from 1 species